AUUAAUCUUUUUCUCCAAAGAAAAGCCACAAACUCUGCUCCUUGGAAGAACUGGCCUCCCUUGCUUGAAAACGGUGCACUAUGUAACAUAGACAAGGCUACAUUCGGGCAACAUGUGGCUGCCUUCAAGAUCAGCAGCCGUCCCUUCUGGACUUCACCUGGAAGGGACUCUCUGCAGAGCCAGUGUGCCCUGCUCUCUCGGACUCUCCAACUGGCCAUAUUGAGUGUCCCAGUGAGUUACCGAGGCACUGGAGGACUGGACACUCGGGUCACAUGAAGGAACCAGCCAAAGGAUAAGUCAGCCCUCAGACACCCUUGUUUGAGCCUCAGCUGGGUGAAUAAAAAACUCAUUCAGAAUUGGAAA